GAUUCAUGAUAACUUCUCGAAUCGCAUGGCCUUGCGCCGGCGAUGGUUCAUUCAAAUUUCUUCCCUAUCAACUUUCGAUGUUUGGGUAUUGGCCAAACAUGGUUGCAACGGGUAACGGAGGGUUAGGGCUCGACCCCGGAGAAGGAGCCUGAGAAACGGCUACUACAUCCAAGGAAGGCAGCAGGCGCGCAAAUUACCCAAUCCCGACUCGGGGAGGUAGUGACAAUAAAUACUGAUACAGGGCUCUUUUGGGUCUUGUAAUUGGAAUGAGUACAAUUUAAAUCCCUUAACGAGGAACAAUUGGAGGGCAAGUCUGGUGCCAGCAGCCGCGGUAAUUCCAGCUCCAAUAGCGUAUAUUAAAGUUGUUGUGGUUAAAAAGCUCGUAGUUGAACCUUGGGCCUGGCUGGCCGGUCCGCCUCACCGCGUGUACUGGUCCGGCCGGGCCUUUCCCUCUGUGGAACCCCAUGCCCUUCACUGGGUGUGGCGGGGAACCAGGACUUUUAC
rnacentral:rRNA from 1 species